AAACCAACAGGGAUUGCCCCAGUAACGGCGAGUGAAGCGGCAACAGCUCAAAUUUGAAAUCUGGCACCCCGCCCGAGUUGUAAUUUGGAGAGGAUGCUUUCGGCGCGGCGCCGUCCGAGUUCCCUGGAACGGGACGCCACAGAGGGUGAGAGCCCCGUCUGGUCGGACGCCUAGCCUCUGUAAAGCUCCUUCGACGAGUCGAGUAGUUUGGGAAUGCUGCUCUAAACGGGAGGUAUAUGUCUUCUAAAGCUAAAUACCGGCCAGAGACCGAUAGCGCACAAGUAGAGUGAUCGAAAGAUGAAAAGCACUUUGAAAAGAGGGUUAAACAGUACGUGAAAUUGUUGAAAGGGAAGCGCUCGUGACCAGACCUGGGCCGGGCGAAUCACCCGGCGUUCUCGCCGGUGCACUUCGCCAGGCCCAGGCCAGCAUCAGUCCGCCGCGGGGGACAAAGGCGUCGGGAACGUGGCUCCCCCGGGAGUGUUAUAGCCCGUCGCGCAAUGCCCUGCGGGCGGACUGAGGUUCGCGCUCCGCAAGGAUGCUGGCGUAAUGGUCACCAGCGAC
rnacentral:rRNA from 1 species